rnacentral:rRNA from 1 species
AGAGUUUGAUCCUGGCUCAGGACGAACGCUGGCGGCGUGCUUAACACAUGCAAGUCGAACGGAAAGGCCCUUCGGGGUACUCGAGUGGCGAACGGGUGAGUAACACGUGGGUGAUCUGCCCUGCACUUUGGGAUAAGCCUGGGAAACUGGGUCUAAUACCGAAUAGGACCGCGCGCUUCAUGGUGUGUGGUGGAAAGCUUUUGCGGUGUGGGAUGGGCCCGCGGCCUAUCAGCUUGUUGGUGGGGUAAUGGCCUACCAAGGCGACGACGGGUAGCCGGCCUGAGAGGGUGACCGGCCACACUGGGACUGAGAUACGGCCCAGACUCCUACGGGAGGCAGCAGUGGGGAAUAUUGCACAAUGGGCGCAAGCCUGAUGCAGCGACGCCGCGUGAGGGAUGACGGCCUUCGGGUUGUAAACCUCUUUCACCAGGGACGAAGCGCAAGUGACGGUACCUGGAGAAGAAGCACCGGCCAACUACGUGCCAGCAGCCGCGGUAAUACGUAGGGUGCGAGCGUUGUCCGGAAUUACUGGGCGUAAAGAGCUCGUAGGUGGUUUGUCGCGUUGUUCGUGAAAACUCACAGCUUAACUGUGGGCGUGCGGGCGAUACGGGCAGACUUGAGUACUGCAGGGGAGACUGGAAUUCCUGGUGUAGCGGUGGAAUGCGCAGAUAUCAGGAGGAACACCGGUGGCGAAGGCGGGUCUCUGGGCAGUAACUGACGCUGAGGAGCGAAAGCGUGGGGAGCGAACAGGAUUAGAUACCCUGGUAGUCCAA